UGGGUAGUUUGACUGGGGCGGUCGCCUCCAAAAAAGUAACGGAGGCGUACAAAGGUAAGUUUAAGUUGAAAAACAUCGAUUCGUAAGCGCAAUAGUAAAUACUUGCUUGACUGCAAGAUUGACAAAUCGAACAGGGACGAAAGUCAGUUAUAGUGAUCCGAUGAUUUUGGGUGGAAACGAUCAUCGCUCAACGAAUAAAAAGUACGCCAGGGAUAACAGGCUAAUCAUUCUCUAGAGACCUUAUCGACGGAAUGGUUUGGCACCUCGAUGUUGGAUUAUCGCAUCCUGGAGCUGUAAUCGGCUCCAAGGGUUUGGCUGUUCGCCAAGGAAGGCGGUACAUGAUCUGAGUUUAGAACGUCGUAAGACAGUUUUGUCCCUAUCUACCGCAGGUGUUGAAAACUGAAAGGAUUAAACCUUAGUAC
rnacentral:rRNA from 1 species